rnacentral:rRNA from 1 species
AGCUCCAAUAGCGUAUAUUAAAUUUGUUGCAGUUAAAAAGCUCGUAGUUGGAUUUCGGUUCGGCUCGGCCGGUCCGCCGCGAGGCGUGUCACUGGAGGAGCUGAUCUUCCUCGCAGAGACUGCGUGUGCUCUUAGCUGAGUGUGCGCAGGAUUUGCGACGUUUACUUUGAAAAAAUUAGAGUGUUCAAAGCAGGCCUCGGGCUUGAAUACAUAAGCAUGGAAUAAUGGAAUAGGACGGCGGUUCUAUUUUGUUGGUUUCUGGAACCGACGUAAUGAUUGACAGAGAUAGUUGGGGGCAUUCGUAUUUCGGUGUCAGAGGUGAAAUUCUUGGAUUAUCGAAAGACGAACUACUGCGAAAGCAUUUGCCAAGAGUGUUUUCA